rnacentral:tRNA from 1 species
GAGAUAUUAGUAAAAUUAUUACAUAACUUUGUCAAAGUUAAGUUAUAGGUUAAACCUAUAUAUCUUA